AUUCACCAUUAAAGAUAUAGAGGCUCUAAAUAGGGUCUGAAUAAGAAGUCAUUCUUAAGAACUACUUUUUACAUGAAGAGCCUAUUUAUAUAAAAGGUGGCUCAGAACACCAGUUAUACAGAAUUACUGAUAUAAGAUUUAUCCCUACUAAAAAAAAUUCUUUUGCUACCCCUGAUGAAGUCUAACAGACGAAACGCAUUGGGUUUGUCAGCCAUUAGUCAGUGAUCCGGUCUGUGGAAAUACUCCCUUUGUUGAACUCACACCUUUUGAAGGUGAGGGAGUAUACAUAUCUACAUCACUUACCGGACACU